rnacentral:lncRNA from 1 species
AUGCAGACUGUGACUCAGCACCCGCGGAAGGGCCCGGCUCCCGGGGGCAACGCUGAUUCACUGGUGGUUCAGGAACUCAGCUUGCCAACCUCGGAAUGUGUCACAGGAGGCCUGGGGGCAGCCCAGGCGAGUCAUCCAGUGAAGGGAACGAACGUGUCGUCACCAGUGGACCCCAGGGAGGAAGCCCUGGGCCCCCGAGACCCUCAGAGGGAUCACCUGGGGACGCCGAUCCCAGGAGGGGGAGGACAGGGCUUCUCUGAGGCCAUCGCCCAGCCCGAGGGGCCCGUGAUUCAGAGGACGCCGGUUCUGUUGAAACAAGGCCUGCACGGUGCCUCGGGCUGGGGGCAGGGAUGUGCUGAAACAGGAAAGGAGACCGUUCCUCACCCCUCACCCCUCACCCCUCACGCCGAGGAUGGUGCCAGAACCUCCUCACUCUUCAGAGGAGGUUUUAGAAGAAAGUCUUCAGGAAGGCUCACACUCUUCCUUCUGGAGGUGCUGGAAAUGAUGAGAGUUGCUCAGUCAUGUCCGACUCUUUCGACCACAUGGACAGUCCAUGGGGUUCUCCAGAGUAGAAUCCUGGGUGGCCUUUCCCUUCUCCGGGGCAUCUUCCCAACCCAGGGACGGAACCCAGGUCUCCCGCCUUGCAGACGGAUUCUUUGCCAGCUGAGUCCCCAGGGAAGCCCUCGUGGGCAAGAACUGAAACAGAGCUUUCGCCUUCACUGGCUCUCAUGCUCUGACGUUUUGUUUUCCCUCCGAGCUGGGGCUUCGCGUUUGCUCCCUGACUUCAGCUUGAAAUCAGCUCUGAGGAGGAGACCUCCCCGGCCUCCCUGAGGUUCCACCUGGGAUCCCUGGAAGCCCGGCCCACACCGGGAAGCCCGGCCCACAGGGCCGCUGUGUGGCCCACAGAGCCAGGCCUCCUCCCCACGCGGCCGCGGCUCCGCCUGGCGUCUACGCCCGGAGCUGACCCGCAACAUUCCAGCUGCUCCAAGAAGCCCCUCCUCCAGGUGGGUCCCAGGUGCCCGCAUGUUCCCGGCCGGGCUUCUGGCCUGAGGGAGCAUCCCAUGUGGGUGCAGACGCCCUAAAGCUUGGGCUCCCGGGACGGCCGGAGCAGGUAUAGAUAGGAGGUGACGGCUCACGCGCCCAUCCUGAAACGGGGCUCAGUGGGCACCUGCCCCUGCCCAUCUGAGGUGGUGGCAGUGUGGGGGUUUAGGGGGGUUGGAGGGGAAGAGUCGGGUGUGCUGGUGGAGGGGGACGGCAGAAGGGGACUCAGGGGAGGCCUGGUGAGGGGGACGAGCUGGGGUCUUCUGGUUGCUCCAGGGAGGAAGGGGCACAGGGCGGGUGAUGGUUUGGGGGGCUCCCUGAGGCCCGCAGACCCCUGACCAGCUGUGGGAGGGCGGGCAGGCCCUCAGCGGGGAGCAGGGAGGAGGGGCUGCAGGAGACCCAGCAUUUGAGCCCAUCAGUGGGGGUCCUUCCGGCACAGGGGUGGGGAGAGAGGGUUGGGCUGGGGUCCUGCUCAGGGCCUCUGCUCUCCUUGCGGGCGCUGCCCCUCGGGACUGCGGUGACUCUCCUCCGAGAUCUUAAGGCGCGUCCUGCCGCCUUCGUCUCCGGUCCCAAUCGUAAAGUUAACAGGCGCGCUCUGGGGAUUCCGCAGAGAGAGGAGUUGAAACCGACCAGGGAUGAUGUCACCUGCGAGCUGGAGGGAGGGUCAGGCUUCCCGGGGGGGCCCCCGCCUCUCCCCCGCCUCCUGGCAGAGCUGCACUUUGGGUUUCCUGGUUUCUUUUAAGAGGCUCGGUGAAGGGCCCGGUUUCUCUUCGCCUGUUCUCUUUCAAGUAUAGGUGCCGUUGUGCAAAUGAAGCCAGGAAUCCAGUGAGAAAUAUGCGUUUACCCCGACUCCGGGCCACCCCCAUUACCAACAGGGAUCCUUGUAAAACAGUGUCAACCAGAUUUUUGGAACUGUGUUCGAAACUUUCCACUUUUCCCCUAAAUCGACACUGAAAUGUCUGUCCCAGGAGAAACCUCCCCACAGAGACCCCGUUCCUAGAAGACGCGCAAGCCGUUUGGGAAAGCUGGCGAUGAGAGCACACAAAGGCGCACAGGUUCUGACCGGUUCUGACGUGAAGGUCGAUGCUAAGACCUGAACAAAAGGACGCAAAUCUGACCGGGCGCCACCUCCGGGGGGCCCUUAGUCAACACAUACAAGCAGCACAGAGGACCUGUCCAUCCUCCCCACACUGAACAGGGGCCCCAACCACGCCCCGGGACAUGGCGCGGACGUCGGCGCACGGAGCUGGGGUGGGCGGGCGUGAGAAAGGGGAGGCGGGCAGCCUGGCCCCGCCCUCUCACGCUGCUCUGACUGGUUCCAGGGCUUUCCUCGCGUCUACAGUGCUCGUUUCAUUCUCAAAAGAUACAAUAAAAUGUAUUUUUCUGCGGCAUUAAUUUCAUAGUUUUCCUUCCUCCCCUCCCGGUCACCCACCCACACCUGAUACCGAGGUACUUUCCCCUCCAGAUGGAUUGCAGGGACUUAGGCCUCAGAGGCAGGCCAGCCUGAACGGCCGGGGUGUGCACAGGCCGGGAUGGAUGGGGCCUGGGGUGCCUGCCUUGGCUGCCUCUGUGCCCUGGGGGGCGUGCCCCUGGGCUCGCCCCCAUCAGGGUGGUCCCGUUCUCUCUCCUGGGUCCCACCUGUCACUCGGCUGCCAGGGCCCAGGAGACAGCCCACCCCCCACCCCUGGCCACCCCCUUGAGAUCCCUCUGGGAGAUGUCAGUCCUGAAGCCGUGUGUCACAGGGAGGAUGUUCUCAGCUGUCUUGGGACCUCUGCUGGGCCUGUGAUGUCAUCUGAGCGCAGGCAGCUCAGGAGGAAAGAGCUUCUACUCGAUGCUGGUUUUAUGCACCUCAGGGUUUCCUGGUGGCCCAGAUGGCGGCUCCGAGGCCCAUCCCUGGGAGUCCCUCGUGAGGGCAGCAGCCCAAGAAGCUGAGUGUCCAGUGUGGGUGUCUGGAUGCAGUCCACCAGGGACGAAAGCUUGACCUGGCCUUCCAGACCUUCCGAGCAGGUCGCCCUGCUGCAAAGGCAGGUCCUGGCUCCGCGGCUGGGACGGUGGCACAUGACUCUGUGCCCGCCUGAAGCCUGCCCCUGCGCCUGCCCCGGAGCCGGAGCAGCCCACCCCCUUCUAGUGACACGCAGGGUCCAGCCUCUGUCUCAGGAGGUGGGGCUCGGGGAGACCGGACCGAGGCUGCCGCCUGCCUCCCCAGGGAAGCGCUGGUACCUGCAGAGAGAGGACAGGUCACUUCAGCCCUCCUCCUUCAGGCUUCAGGGAAAGAUGCCCCCAGGGCAGGUGUCAGUGCCGGGGGACUGGGGACGGGAGCUGGGCUUUCCUGAGGGCCUCCACGUGCCCCCAGAGCCCGACUCUCCUGGGUGGAGGUGUCUGCCCCUGAGUGCUGGGAGACGGUGGGUGAGCGUGCCUGGUGUGCACGUGAGAGUGUGGGUGUGCGUCUGGGUCAUGUACGACUCUGCGUGUGCUCACUCUGCGUGUAUCUGAGUGUGCUCCCUCCGCGUGUGCGUGUGCGCACGUGCCUGGUGGGCAGAUGUGUGAGCGUGGGUGUGCAUGGGUGUGCAUGGGGGUCAUGUACGACUCUGCGUGUGAGUGUGCUCACACCGCGUGUGCGUGUGUGCACGUGCCUGCUGCGUGCGCGUGCAAGCGUGUGUGCAAUCUCGGUCCCGGGCAGCCUGUCUGUGUGCACGUGUGCGUGUCCGCUGAGGGUAGGGGCGCAGAGAAGGGUGACGCGCAGGGGCGGGGCCGCUCGAGGGAGUGGGCAGUUCGGGUGCGGCCAUCGCGAGCUGUUGAGCUGCCGCCCGGGCCCCGGACCAGCGAGGGUCCUGGGUGUCGCCCUGGCUCCGGGCUCCCGCGGGCCUGGCCGUGGCCGGGCCCACAGCGCCCUCUGGUGCCCGUCCGCCGCGGCGCGCGAAGCCGCCGGGCCGAGCAGCGGCGCUGGGCUCCCGGGUCGGGUUGAGGGGCGAGGGGACGAGCGGCUCGGCUCGGCCCCGGGCAGGUGCCCGGGCGCACGGACCCACUGGCACAGCCCUGGCGGGUCAGCGGCUGCAUUCCGGCACACAGGCUCCUGUGGGCCUGAGAGAGGCCGCGGGGUUCUUCCUCCUUCCUGAGCCCGGGGCGGAGCGCCCGCCCGCCUGGGCCUCCCGGACCCUUGCUCGGGGCGGGAUGUCAGACGCGCCCGCACCUCACUCAAGGCCCGUCUCCCCUCCGGGGCUGACUGGGGGGGGCGGAGGCUGGGUGCUGGGCACAGUCGCUGUGGCCCCUGCCGUUGAGAAAGGGCUCAGGUCCCCACCCCAUGGCACUGUCCCCCCAUCACCGCACUGAUCGGGGCCACCCCACCUGCUGCAGCCCCCGGAGAGCAGACCCAGGGCCCCGAUGGCUCUGUGGGGGCGAGGGGGGCUUUUCUCCCAGGACAUGAGAGGAUCGCAGGACAGUCCCCGAAGCAGGACAGGACCCCGUGGCCACCUGUGUAUCAGCCCUUCAUCCAGGGCCCGAGACAUCAGGGGAGGAAGGGACAGAAGAGAGAGACGGGGCAGAGAUGGGAUGGGGGAGGGAGAGACAGGGACGGGGAGACGACGGGGAUGGGGGAGACAGGGACGGGGAGACAGGGACGGGGAGAGACAGCAAAGAGAGAGCAGGGUGCAGAGGCGUCCCCCCAAUGCCCCAUCCUUUGUCCUGUCUCAGGGAGUUCUGGGUCAGGUUGCAGGUAGGGGGCCACCUCUCACAGCCCCCGACUUGCCCACUAGAUACCCAGGGUGCAGGGGCCAGGCUUAAUCUGUUGUCUGGACAAAUCAGUGGACCUGGAAACGGCUCCCAGACUCCGCCCCCUCCAGCGUGUGUCUUGAGCCCGGGGGUGCCUCUUUCUGGAGCCACUGAGAACUGAGCAGGGUGCCCACGCCGCUCCUUUGGGUGCCGGGGAGCCCCUCCUGUGGGCAGUGUGGGACUGAGCUUUGUCCCUUCGCUUCCUAGUUGCCAGCCCUGGGACUCGGCGGCUUCCCAUGGAGUCUGCGUUGUAAGUGGGCACGUUUGUCCCUGUCCAUGUUCUCAGGGACGUGUACAUGGGCUUAAAUGGUUAAACAUCUCAAACAAAUACACUUGGCAAAUGGAAAUCAAACCUUAUUUUCUUUUAAUUUCAGAGUUGUCUGUGGAAAGCUGACUUGAAAGACGCUGAAAUUGGAUAGGUAAUUAAUUCACGUGUACCUACA